UAUCCUCAGUGCCUGAUAUAUAGUGAGGGC
rnacentral:piRNA from 1 species